rnacentral:sRNA from 1 species
ACCAGGCGUGGUGAUGCACACCUGUAAUCCCAGCAGCACAGGAGGCUGAGGCAGGAGAAUUGCGAGUUCAAAGCCAGCUUCAGCAAAAGCAAGGCACUAAGCCAUUCAGUGAGACCCUGUCUCUA